UGGCGGCAUGGCCUAACACAUGCAAGUCGAACGAGACCUUCGGGUCUAGUGGCGCACGGGUGCGUAACACGUGGGAAUUUGCCUCGGGGUAUGGAAUAACUCAGGGAAACUUGAGCUAAUACCAUAUAAUGUCUUCGGACCAAAGAUUUAUCGCCCUGAGAUAAGCCCGCGUAGGAUUAGCUAGUUGGUGGGUAAAGGCUCACCAAGGCGACGAUCCUUAGCUGGUCUGAGAGGAUGAUCAGCCACACUGGGACUGAGACACGGCCCAGACUCCUACGGGAGGCAGCAGUGGGGAAUAUUGGACAAUGGGCGAAAGCCUGAUCCAGCAAUGCCGCGUGAGUGAUGAAGGCCUUCGGGUUGUAAAGCUCUUUUACUCGGGACGAUAAUGACGGUACCGAGAGAAUAAGCCCCGGCUAACUACGUG
rnacentral:rRNA from 1 species